rnacentral:rRNA from 1 species
UACGUAGGGUGCGAGCGUUGUCCGGAAUUACUGGGCGUAAAGAGCUUGUAGGUGGUUUGUCGCGUUGUUCGUGAAAUCUCACGGCUCAACUGUGAGCGUGCGGGCGAUACGGGCAGACUAGAGUACUGCAGGGGAGACUGGAAUUCCUGGUGUAGCGGUGGAAUGCGCAGAUAUCAGGAGGAACACCGAUGGCGAAGGCGGGUCUCUGGGCAGUAACUGACGCUGAGAAGCGAAAGCGUGGGGAGCGAACAGG